GGCGUUUACUGUCUGCCCGGACGAUUUUGUUGGUUCGUUCAUGGUGCUCUUCAUCGGGUGCCUUGAGUGGCCAGCACGUUUACUUUGAAAAAAUUGGAGUGCUCAAAGCAGGCGCUACAGCCUGAACAUUUGUGCAUGGAAUAAUGGAAUAGGAUCUCGGUUCUAUUUCGUUGGCUUUCGGAGUCGAGGUAAUGAUUAAUAGGGACAGACGGGGGCAUUCGUACUGCGACGUUAGAGGUGAAAUUCUUGGAUCGUCGCAAGACGAACUACUGCGAAAGCAUUUGCCAAGAAUGUUUUCAUUAAUCAAGAACGAAAGUUAGAGGUUCGAAGGCGAUCAGAUACCGCCCUAGUUCUAACCAUAAACGAUGUCGACUGGCGAUCCGGCUCCGUUAACUGAAUGACUAGCCGGGCAGUCUCCGGGAAACCAAAGUUUUUGGAUUCAAGGGGAAGUAUGGUUGCAAAGCUGAAACUUAAAGUUUGCCAACGGCCAUACCACGUUGAACACACCGGUUCUCGUCCGAUCACCGAAGUUAAGCAACGUCGGGCCCGGUUAGUACUUGGAUGGGUGACCGCCUGGGAACCCCGGGUGCUGUUGGCAUUCUUUUAAGGGAAGUAUGGUUGCAAAGCUGAAACUUUUAGUAAGCUUGGCCCUCUAGAUUAUCCCAUAUCUUAGGGUACCGCUGCUUCCCAACAGUAAGAGAUGAGAACUGAUGGUUGUUCUUAUCGUACCGGGUCCU
rnacentral:rRNA from 1 species